rnacentral:lncRNA from 1 species
AUGGGAAAAGAUGGCUGGAAAGCGAGCAGAUUAAUUAUACGAGGGGUUGUCAGUAAGAACUUUUUUCCUUGGUCAAAGUAAAUUUUCAGACACGUAAGAACUUGCGUAAAGACAAUGGCGAUAAAGUUAGGGAUCUUCAAAUUUUUGGAGCUUUCUCGUAGUAGGUAAUGCUUAUAGGCAAGAGGGAUCUUCAAAUUUUUGGAGCUUUCUCGUAGUAGGUAAUGCUUAUAGGCAAGAGGGAUC